UGGGGAUAGUGGCGCACGGGUGCGUAACGCGUAACCAACCUGCCCGAAUCUGGGGGAUAGCCCGCCGAAAGGCGGAUUAAUACCGCAUAAAACCGCAGGGCGGCAUCGCCCAACGGUUAAAGAUUUAUUGGAUUCGGAUGGGGUUGCGUGCCAUUAGCUAGUUGGGGGGGGUAACGGCCCACCAAGGCGACGAUGGCUAGGGGAGCUGAGAGGCUGGUCCCCCACACGGGCACUGAGAUACGGGCCCG
rnacentral:rRNA from 1 species